GCUGCCAUGGCCGAGUGGUUAAGGCGUUGGACUUGAAAUCCAAUGGGGAUUCCCCACGCAGGUUCGAGCCCUGCUCGCAGUG